rnacentral:snRNA from 1 species
GUGCUCGCUUCGGCAGCAUAUAUACUAAAAUGGGAACCAUACAGAGAUUAGCACGGCCCCUGUGCAAGGAUGACAUGCAAAUUCGUGAAGCGUUCCAUAUCUUU